GUGGGGAAUAUUCCGCAAUGGACGAAAGUCUGACGGAGCAACGCCGCGUGAGUGAUGAAGGUUUUCGGACUGUAAAGCUCUGUUGUUUAGGACGAAAGUGCCUGUUGCGAAUAGUUACAGGUAUUGACGGUACUGAACGAGGAAGCCACGGCUAACUACGUGCCAGCAGCCGCGGUAAUACGUAGGUGGCAAGCGUUGUCCGGAAUUAUUGGGCGUAAAGAGCAUGUAGGCGGGAAUCUAAGUCUGUUGUGAAAAUGCGGGGCUCAACCCCGUAUUGCGAUGGAAACUGGGUUUCUUGAGUGCAGGAGAGGAAAGGGGAAUUCCCAGUGUAGCGGUGAAAUGCGUAGAUAUUGGGAGGAACACCAGUGGCGAAGGCGCCUUUCUGGACUGUGUCUGACGCUGAGAUGCGAAAGCCAGGGUAGCGAACGGGAUUAGAAACCCUUGUAGUCC
rnacentral:rRNA from 1 species